UACGGGGGGAGCAAGCGUUGUUCGGAUUUACUGGGCGUAAAGGGCGCGUAGGCGGCUUGACAAGUCACUUGUGAAAUCUCCGGGCUUAACUCGGAACGGCCAAGUGAAACUGUCAUGCUAGAGUGCGGAAGGGGCAAUCGGAAUUCUUGGUGUAGCGGUGAAAUGCGUAGAUAUCAAGAGGAACACCUGAGGUGAAGACGGGUUGCUGGGCUGACACUGACGCUGAGGCGCGAAAGCCAGGGGAGCAAACGGG
rnacentral:rRNA from 1 species